GACGUAGGGUGCAAGCGUUGUCCGGAAUUACUGGGCGUAAAGCGUGCGCAGGCGGUUUUGUAAGACAGCUGUGAAAUCCCCGGGCUCAACCUGGGAACUGCGGUUGUGACUGCAAGACUGGAGUGUGGCAGAGGGGGGUGGAAUUCCACGUGUAGCAGUGAAAUGCGUAGAGAUGUGGAGGAACACCGAUGGCGAAGGCAGCCCCCUGGGUCAACACUGACGCUCAUGCACGAAAGCGUGGGGAGCAAACAGG
rnacentral:rRNA from 1 species